rnacentral:rRNA from 1 species
UGAACGCUAGCGGGAUGCCUUACACAUGCAAGUCGAACGGCAGCACGGACUUCGGUCUGGUGGCGAGUGGCGAACGGGUGAGUAAUGUAUCGGAACGUGCCCAGUAGCGGGGGAUAACUACGCGAAAGCGUAGCUAAUACCGCAUACGCCCUACGGGGGAAAGCAGGGGAUCGCAAGACCUUGCACUAUUGGAGCGGCCGAUAUCGGAUUAGCUAGUUGGUGGGGUAACGGCUCACCAAGGCGACGAUCCGUAGCUGGUUUGAGAGGACGACCAGCCACACUGGGACUGAGACACGGCCCAGACUCCUACGGGAGGCAGCAGUGGGGAAUUUUGGACAAUGGGGGAAACCCUGAUCCAGCCAUCCCGCGUGUGCGAUGAAGGCCUUCGGGUUGUAAAGCACUUUUGGCAGGAAAGAAACGUCGUGGGUUAAUACCCCGCGAAACUGACGGUACCUGCAGAAUAAGC